rnacentral:rRNA from 1 species
GAAGACGACCACGUUGAUAGGCCGGGUGUGGAAGUGCGGCAACGCAUGAAGCUUACCGGUACUAAUCGUUCGAUCGGCUUGAUCGU